rnacentral:rRNA from 1 species
AGAGCGAACGCUGGCGGCAGGCCUAACACAUGCAAGUCGAGCGCCCGUAGCAAUACGGGAGCGGCAGACGGGAUAGUAACACGUGGGAACGCGCCCUUCGGUUCGGAAUAACUCAGGGAAACUUGAGCUAAUACCGGAUACGCCCUUACGGGGAAAGAUUUAUUGCCGAAGGAACGGCCCGCGUCCGAUUAGCUAGUUGGUGAGGUAAUGGCUCACCAAGGCGACGAUCGGUAGCUGGUCUGAGAGGACGAUCAGCCACACUGGGAUUGAGAACGGCCCAGACUCCUACGGGGGCAGCAGUGAGGAAUUUCCGCAAUGGACGCAAGUCUGACGGAGCAACGCCGCGUGCAGGAUGAAGGUUUUCGGAUCGUAAACUGCUUUUCUCGGGGACAGCAAGGACGGUACCCGAGGAAGAAGCCCCGGCUAACUACGUGCCAGCAGCCGC